CUGGAAGCCAAUACUGGCUUUUAUUGUGAGUCGACCAACACGGAGACCAGUACUCAUCACAUUGGGUGUUUGAAUGGAGAAGGCAGAUGGGUCUCCUGGACUCCUUGGACUGCUUGAAGAGCACUGCAGAGAGAUGCGCAUGCCAGCUGAUAGAGGCAGCAUUAAAUGAACCACCAAACACAGGAGUUUAGAGAAAAAGCAAAGGUGUAGGUGGCUUUGAUGAGGUCAAAGAAGUGAUAUAACAGGAGUGAUUCUAGAGAAUAAUAAUUUACGCACAAGGCGGUUUAGUGGAGCUAAAGAUUUCAGAAGGGGAACUCUUCAUAGAUGACCACGUGAGAGAUGUGGCCACAGUGUGGGCUCCCGAGGCACGGAAGGGGGCCGGGGUGGGGCCAAGUUAAACACUCUUGACUGGUAUAUCUUUUUGAUGCUCUGUCAUCUCCCUUCCAUUCCCACUCUCUUAGUGUAUGCUAUUAUAUUA
rnacentral:lncRNA from 10 species